GGGACGGCUGCGGGGCCGAGUUCGAGGCGCGGGGGCGCGGGUGUCUAACCUCGUACCCUGAGUUCCUGAUUGAAAACCGGUGCGUGCGUUUUUUUGCGGCCUGUAAACAUGCGCUGCGAAGAAGGAAGAGAGGAGAGAGAGAGAUCCGGAGACGGAGGGAGAGCCGCCUGUUCUGGAACAGGUCCUUUUAAAACUUGGCCGGGGCGGGCAGGGAAGCAGGAGCAGCGAAUCCCGUGGGACGGGGCGGGGCUGACGGCGGUGGCUGGGCCUGGGGGCCACCUGCUUCCCGCGAUGGUGUCGGGACUGCGCCGUUUUGCUAACCCCGCGAUGUUGACGUGUUGAAGUGGUUGGGGGGGAACAAAACAGAAUUUCAUAACAGGAGGACUUGUUUGAAGUUUAAAUUUCAUUGCCUAUAAAGGAUUUUUUUAAGGGUUUAUUUUAUUUAUUUGAAGGUUACAGAGGCAGAGAGAGAGAGAGGUCUUCCAUCCGCUGGUUCACUCCUUAAUUGGCCACAAUGGCCAGAGUUGGGCCAAUCUGAAGCCAGGAGCCAGGAGCUUCUUCCCGGUCUCCCGUGCGGGGGCCCAAGGACUUGGGCCAUCCUCCACUGCUUUCCAAGGAGCAUUAGCAGGGAGCUGGAUAGGAAGAGGAGCAGCCAGGAUGCGAACCGGUGCCCGUAUGGGAUGCUGGUGCUGCAGGCCACGGCGUUAACUGGGGAGGCCACAGCCAUAAAGUUUUAUUAGAACGUAGCCACGCUCAUUCGUUUGUAGAUUGUCCGUCACUCCUUUCACAUUGAAACCUGUGGUGCGAGGGGCCAGCGUCGUAGCCGUCCCAUCCAGCUCCUGCUGAAGUCCUUGGGAAGGCAGCUGAACAUGGCCCAAGCGCCUGGCCCGGCCUCCCGUGUGGGAGACCGGGCGGAGUUCCGGGCUCCAGGCUUCAGGUGUGGGUCAUUUGUGGCCAGCGCAGACAUUUAGGGUGUGAACCAGAGGAUGGGAGGACUCUGUCUCACCCCCUCACUGCCCCUCUGCCUUCCAAAUAAAAAAAAUCAAAAAACAGCAAGACUGUUCCCAGGAGGGCUGUUUGGUCUACAGAGCCUGAAGCAGUUCCCCACUGGCGCUUUAUAGAUGAGGUUUCCCGUCCCUGCUUUCGAUGUACUGGGUAAUACCAAAAUUGGUAAAUUUUUGAUGGAUUUAUUCAUUUGAAAGUUAGAGAGGUGGAGAGACAGCGAGAUCUCCCAUCUGCUGGUUCACUGCCCAGUUGUCUGCCAGGGUGGAGCCAGGCUGGAGCCAGGAGCCAGGAGCUUCAUCCAGGUCUCCCACAUGGGUGGCAGGGCUCACACAGCUGGACCACCUGCUGCUGCUUUCCCAGGCCAUUAGCAGGGAGCUGGGUGGGAAGUGGAGCAGCCGGGACACGAGCUCACAGCCAUAUGGUAGCCGGCGUCACAGGCAGUGGCUUUGCCGGCUAUGCCACUUUGCUGCUCCAUAAGCUGAUUCCAACAGUGCUCCAGAGAGCUUUCUUGAUUCCCGCACAGUUGUCCUAGUCUGAUUUGUGUGGAAGCUACAAGUGGGGCAGACCUGUUCUGAAUUUUUUAAGAUUUAUUUAUUAUUUGAAAGGCAGAGUUACAGAGAGAGGUCUUCCAUCCACUGAUUCACACUGAUUCACUCCCCAAAUGGCUGCAACAGCUGGAGCUGGGCCAGUCUGAAGCCAGGAGCUUCUUCCAGGUCUCCCACGUGGGUGCAGGGUCCCAAGGACUUGGGCCAUCUUCUUCUUUUUUUUUUUUUUUAAAGAAAUAAAUACAAGUUACACAGUGAGAAGAGAAAGAGAGGGAUGGAGGGAGGGGGAGAGGUCUUCCAUCCAGUGGUUCAUUCCCCAAUUGGCCGCAACCGCCAGGGCUGAGCCGAUCUGAAGCCAGGAGCUUCUUCUGGGUCUCCCAUGCGGGUGCAGGGGCCCAAGGACUUGGGCCAUCUUCCAUUGCUUUCCCAGGCCAUAGCAGAGAGCUAGAUUGGAAGUGGAGCAUCUGGGUCUCGAACUGGCGCCCAUAUGGGAUGCUUGCCCUGCAGGCAACGGCUUAACCUGCUACGCCACAGCACCGGCCCCUUGGGCCAUCUUCCACUGCUUUCCCAGGCCACAGCAGAGAGCUGGAUGGGAAGUGGAGCAGCCAGGACUUGAACCAGUGCCCAUAUGGGAUGCCCGUGCUGCAGGCAGCAGCUUUACCCGCUACACCACAGCGCUGGCCCCUGUUCUGCAUGUUAAGGAGAUCACCUUGGUGGCAGUUGUUCUUGGAUAGCAGGAGGUAAGACCGGAACAGACCAAUCAGAAGGUUCUGGAAUGCGUCGUUCACAGUAGCAGUGAGUGCUCAUCCAAGGCCCGCGCAGUGUGCAGUGAGCAGUGAUGGCCCCCCGUCCUGUCCAGGGCGUCUGUGAGCCCCCCCAACGCACCCGUGCGUCCACGGCAGUAGCUCUGGCACGGCCGGCCACGCUCUCUUCUUGAAACGCCCUUGGCUUCCAGGCUGUCAGCCCCUCCCUCCCGGCUUCCUUGGCUCCUUCUCCUCGCUGCUUCCUGUUCCUGGCCCCGACCGCUGGCGCGCAGGCCCAGAUGCCGUCUGAGCUUCCCCUCCACGCCCGCUCCAUCCCAGAGAGAGAGGGCUCUCUGCUGUGCGUCUUCAGUCGCGAUCUCUCAGCUGCACCCUGGCUGCCCACUCGGCGCCUCCGUCGGGACAUCUCGUGGGUCUGAGACCCAACUCCCGGGGUCCUUCCACCCUGCUUCUCCCCCCUCCUUGCCUCUGUCAGCAACAGCUUCUUCCUGCCUGCUGGCUUCUUAGAUCAAAAAUCUUAAAAAAAAAAAAAGAUUUACUUAUGUAUUAGAGGGAGGGCAUCCGCUCCUCACUCCCCAAAUGGCCACAAUGGCCAGAGCUGGGCUGGUCUGAAGCCAGGAGCCAGGAGCUUCUUCCAGGUCUCCCAUGCGUGAGCAGGGGCCUAAGGACUUGGGCCAUCUUCUACUGCUUUCCCAGACCACAGCAGAGAGCUGGAUUGGAAGUGGAGCAGCUCGGACUGAAUUGGCACCCACAUGGGAUGCUGGCACUGUAGACGGCGGCUUCAUCCGCUAUGACACAGCACUGGCCUCCGAAAAUCUUUUUAAGAGAUUCGUUUUAUUUUACUUGAAAGGCAGAGGGGAGAGAGGUGGAGAUCUCCCAUCCGCUGAUUCACUCCCCAGUUGGGAGCUACAGUUGGAGCUGUUCCAGACUGAAGCCAGGAGCCUGGAACUGCAUCGCUGUCUCCCACGCGGGUGCAGGGGCCCAAGCACCUGGGCCGUCCUCCGCUGCUCCCCCUGGCACAUUAGCAGGAGCUGGAUUGGAAGUGGAGCAGCCGGGACUCGAACUGGCGCUCAUAUAGCAGGCCAGCAUCACAGCCAGUGGCUUGACCCGCUGCGCCACAAUGCCAGCCCCGAGACCAAAAGUCUUGAAAAGUCAGCUCUCACUUCUCUGUUUCCCUCAAAUCCAGGAACAAAUGCCCUGAGCUCUCGCUUCUCCCUGCCUCGGCACCGCACUCCAUGGCAGAGCACUCCACGUCUUCCCAGAACCACCGCGGUAGCCGAAUCUUUAGGAACGAGAGGGGUCCUUUAAAAACAUUGUGCAGACCGGGUCACCCUGACCCGAAUCCACCAGUAGUUUUUCGUUUACCCAGACACCCAGCGUCAUCCGAAUCCACCUCCACCACGGCCACUCUGCCUCCUCUCCCACUGCCCCUCGCUCCCGGCUGGCCUCCCUGCCGGCUGAGGACACGGCAGGCCUGUGCUAGCCCAGGGCCAUGCCAGUUCCUGCCCGCAGUGCUCUCUGUGUAUCCGCGCCUGGCUCCGGCGUCUCCUCCCCGGUGUAUCCGCGCCUGGCUCCGGCAUCUCCUCCCCGGGGCGUCCGCGCCUGGCUCCGGCAUCUCCUCCCCGGUGCGUCCGCGCCUGGCUCCGGCGUCUCCUC